CUGGCUAGAAAAGCAGGUGUACGCGUGGACUUAGCCGCCCGUACCGCAAACCAACACAGGUGCUCGAGUCGAGUAGACUCAGGCUUACGAGCGAACCUUCGCUAAGGAACUCGGCAAUACAGCGACCGUAACUUCGGGAUAAGGUCUGCCCCCACUUCGGUGGAUAUCAGCCGCGUUCACUCAGUGAAUAUUAGGUUAAAGAGUACAUUUUUAAUCACAAAACGAAUUUUCUGAGAUAGAGCAAACGAAUUGUUCUUUUGAACGCGAACCUCUGGCAUCUAGCGAUGUGGGGGCCGCAGCAAAAGAGCCCACGGAACUGUUUAUCAAAAACACAGGUGCGUGCGAAGCCGUAAGGCGAUGUAUACGCACUGACGCCUGCCCGGUGCUGGAAGGUUAAGAGGAUCCGUGAGCCCCUUGGAUACAUGGGGUGAGGCGGUGAGUUCAAGCCCCAGUAAACGGCGGUGGUAACUAUAACCAUCCUAAGGU
rnacentral:rRNA from 1 species